UAGUUUUUGUUAUUCUUAAGCGCGUCUAUUAUGCACAGAUGUGUUGUUGUGUGGAUGCUGACGCAUCACAAUUGGCUAUUUGUUAGAUGUACUGCGACUCUGGCAGCAAAUCGGCAGAUCAAUUCGGAUCGAAGAGUUUUGUUUACUUAGUUACAGUUCUGAUUAGUGCAUCGCACAUGAUUCAUUGCACCAACCGUCUAUUACCAAUUCAACUUGGAUAUUUUAUGAUACUCACCAGAGGUCUGGAAGAUCUGGACUUGCUUGAAAAGUUGAUGUAAUUAUUUGACACUUGUCAAUAAUACCUUAUCACUAAUUAUUAGGUUACGUCCUUUUGCCUAACUCUGCCUUACCCAGCUUCGUAGGUUACUGAGACUUCGUAAGAGAAGCUGUACUAUUAUUCUGUGAAGACUACCUGGGUUACUUAGUGCUAAAACAUUGAAUUAAAAUAAUAUUUUUCUUAUACAAGAGACGAAAGAAUACAUUUUAAAAGAAAAUAGAAAACCUAUUUCUGACUUUGUUCUAAUAUACUUCAACAUUAAUUUAGAAGGUCAGGAUAAAUCUUGAACUCAAUAUUUGGUUUUUAGGGGGAACCACGAAAGCAUAACUGAGACUGUUGGAGUCUACAUCCAGAUUAAAGGAAAAGAACUUACAUUAUCUUGGUAUCAGUAUCUACACUGAUCCAAGAAAUUAACGAGGUUGGUGACUACACCAGAAGACCAGGACAUGGUGGUCAUCGGGCUACAACUCUUUCCCAAGAUCGAUCUGGAGGCUUCCAACUUUAAUACUUUGUCACCACAAGAUGUUACAGUUCUAGAAAACAUAGAUGUUUGAAUAGAUAUAGAACCAAUUCGACAACGAGUUCAAUUGUUUUUGGAAUGAUACAUUAUUUUUAUUUCCUUUAGGAUAAUUAGA